UUUGGGGGGACGGUCGGAUGGGUAGGCUCCAGGAAUCGGGGUGAACCGAGGCUGGUGCCUGGAGGAGAGCUUCGUGCCAUCGGCUCCCUGACCCUGGGGCGGCCCCCACCCCCCCAUGGGUCCCCUGGUGAGAGCCGCCCUGGUCCUGACGCUGCUCGAACCGGUGUGUCUACUGACCCAGGAGCCCCGGGGCCGUCCGACCGUCGCGCCCGCCCCCAGCCUGCACGUCACCUUUGACCCCUGGAGGAAGAACCUGACCUGGGCCUGCGGCGACCACACCACGGCCGUCCAGUGCGGGAUGCGGACCCGGAAAAGGGGAUCCGUGACCAUGAGGGUGCGUGGACCUUCCAUACCCGCC